UAGAAUGACUGUAUGAAUGACUGAAGAACGGGUGGGUGAAUGCCAGGGGUCGUCCAGGAGUGACUUCAACUCUGUGAACUUCGGAGAGGGGGCAGCAGGUCAGUGAGUGACAACUUGGGGACAGGCACCCCGUGAAUCAGCCCUGGGCUUCUUCUAUCAUGAGAGGAGGGAGUUAGGCCUCCUGUCGCAUGGCCAAGUGGACAAUGAAGACACUCAGCCUACCAGCCAAGGGCUGUGACUCACAGGCCAUGAGGCCAGGCAGGGCCCCCACGCUUGGCCCCUGAUGCCCCAGCCAUUCAACCUGGGCAGUGAGCGGUAUGGAGUUCCCAGUCGCCUUCUGAUACGGGCCCUGCUCCCAGGCUCUGGGGACGACCCAAUCGGCCCGCUGAGUAAAGAGGCUCCAGACAAUCCCUCCUUUCAUAAACUUCCACUGCUGACUAAUGCCUCCCAGUCACGCUGGGCCCUUCCACCCCAAAACCCAUCCCUGGCCUGGAGCUGGCCCUGUGGGAUUUUGAGGGAGGCUCUCCCUGGCCCUUGGUGCUGCCCUCAUGCCCUGUCCCAUCCAGCCUCUGGGCCCUGCUUGUCAGCCCUCUCCAGGGCCAAUUUCCCUUCCCUCUUCUCUUCCUCCUGUCAACCCCAAGCUCUCCCAAGCCCUCACCUUUGGGUCUGGUCAAGCCUUGAGUGGGUCCUGCCAUAAUCGAAUCUCCACUGAGGGGCUUCUUGUAAACCCUCCUCCUGCCCAUCCCUGGCCUUUCCCAUUAAGGCUGGGGGGUCACCGGGAGAAGACUCCAAUGUGGGGAUUUCAGGCACUUGAGCAGGUGGGCAGGCGAACUAUUUCUGAUCAUGUGUGCAGGGGCAUCUUAAGGUGCCCUAAUUCCUUCAAGGCACAUAGAGAGACGUUGUGGAAAGAGAUGGGCUUUGGAGUCAGGCCUGAGUUCAAAUUCUGACUCUGCCACUUACUAGCUGGGUAACCAUAGGCAGGUAACUUAACCUCUCUGAGUCUCUCUUUAUCUGUUAAAAAAAAAAAAAUGGAAUGGGGGUGGGAAUGAUAAUCCCUUAUUUCCAGAAUGGAUGUGAAGCAUCUUCCAGAGAGACUCUCAACUCAUUCUUGGUGGAGGUGACAGUCCCAACAGAGGGGCUCAGGAUGUGGUGUUGGCGAUGCCUCGGGGAUCACCCGCUCUCCAACAGGAGGCCUUGGCUGAGGAGUGUGCGGCUGAAAUAUGCGUUUGCUCAUCUUCGCUGUACUGCUGACCUUACUAAGAAACCAAGGCCCAGCGGCAUUUGGUGGGAAGAGAAUUCAGACCAUGUUUUCAUGUUUCAGCUGCCACGCCAGGCUGGCUUCAGAAGGAAGAUGCAAUAACUUAAAGGAAAAGUCCCAGUGUCUGCUCCAGCCCCCUCAGGCGGCUCUCAGAGCUCGUGCCAAGAGAUGGCUUGGCGCCGUGUUCUUUCCUUCGUGCACAUUAGCGUAUUUCCAGAUGUUUCAGGCAGCAGCUCACGGAGUCCUUUCAGGUUCUGUUUCGUUGGAUCUCCUUUCCUAUAGCUUCUCUUUCCUUUGCUUUUCUCCAACUGGGCAUCGUAGCUUUACAGACAAAAAAGAAAACAAAAAAAAACAAAAAAAAA